UACGGAGGGUGCAAGCGUUAUCCGGAUUUACUGGGUUUAAAGGGUGCGUAGGUGGGUAGGAAAGUCAGUGGUGAAAUCUUCGGGCUUAACCCGGAAACUGCCAUUGAUACUAUUUAUCUUGAAUACUUUGGAGGUAAGCGGAAUAUGUCAUGUAGCGGUGAAAUGCUUAGAGAUGACAUAGAACACCCAUUGCGAAGGCAGCUUACUACGCCUAUAUUGACGCUGAGGCACGAAAGCGUGGGGAUCAAACAGG
rnacentral:rRNA from 1 species